GGGGCGUAAACCGGAACCUGGCAGCGGGUUCCGCCCUCGCGCCGGGGAGGAGUCCCGGAGCCGAGCUGGAGCUGGAGCACCUCUCACACCCUCCUCGCCCUCCCCACCGACAUCAUGCUCCAGUUCCUGCUUGGAUUUACUUUGGGCAACGUGGUUGGAAUGUAUCUGGCUCAGAACUAUGAAAUGCCAAACCUGGCUAAAAAACUUGAAGAGAUUAAGAAGGACCUGGAAGCCAAGAAGAAGCCCCCUAGUUCCUGAUGCCUGCCUGGCACUGCAAUCUGGACCCACCAGUUCCAUCCUGGGGGGCCUGUCUCCUUCACAGCCACGUCCAAAGCUGUGUUCCUCUUUGGUCUCAGACCCUGCGCGUUGCUGAGGCUCCAGCACGGGCCAGAAGUGGAGUUAGCUUUCCGUUUCCAGCAUCUCCCCGUUCCCGUAUCUUCCGUCCACCUGCUUCUGAGACCUAAGCCUGGAACCAUGGUGCUAGGUUAGCAGCCGCAACCAUGACAGGACUCACUCGCCUGUGCUCUGGGAUUCCUACCGCCUACUGUCAAGAAAUGAAUGGAUUUGGAUAGCUGCUGGGGACUCACUGUCUAGCAGUGAUAACAGGAGCUUGCUAGACAAACUAAACUGUGUUAAAGUCAUUAAAGUCAGUAUCUUCAAGCCAGUUUCUGGUGAAUUAAUCCAUUUAUUAUAUAUUGUUACCAAGGAGCUCCAUGGUUGAUGAUUUAACCAGUAAAUCAUUUGCUGGUCAUUAACCAGGAAACUAUUUUAUGCAUUCUAUAAAAAGCAAACAAACUGGGAAAACUUAAAACAUGCAAAGUAACUGUUGUCUUCGUACAGUUCAGUCUAUGCAGUCUAUGUUUUUCCUUAAUGAUAUAUUUGAACUGAAUCUGCCGUAAAAGAGCCAUUCUUUAUGCUGGCACUUGAUAGGAUGGGUGGAUAAAUGAGGAGCUGUUGAUAAAAUAAUGUUACUUUUUUUUUUUUAAACAUUANNNNNNNNNNNNNNNNNNNNNNNNNNNNNNNNNNNNNNNNNNNNNNNNNNNNNNNNNNNNNNNNNNCCUCCCCGGAAGCAGGACGGACCAUCAGGCGUCAGCAACUUCAUUUUUUUUAAAGACAGUCUCCCAGUGUUACCCAGGGUGGUCUCAAGCUCCUGGGCUCAAGUAAUCCUCCUGCCUCAGCUUCCGGGUGCUGGGACCACAGGUGUGCACCAUGGUGUCCAGCCUAGUCCGUAAUGUUUUUAAUUAAAAAAUAUUUAAAAAUUAUUCCCACAGGAGAUGAUAGGAAAGUGAUUUCACAUGAAGACUCUUUCUAGCCUCUGUCUUAUUCCCAGGUACAAUUCCUCAGGCAAUCCCUGGUGUCAGGUUCCUGUGUGCCUUUGAGAAGGAGUGUCUAACCACAUAAGUGUUUUCGUCUUUUGUUACAUACAUACAUACAUACAUACAUACAUACAUACAUACAUACACACACACAGUAUGUAUGUAUUGUGUGUGUGUGUGUACACAUAUGCUUUUUGUCUCUUCCUAUCACUUUUGUUUUUGCACAGAGUCAUGACGCCCACGCUUUUACAGUCAGUGAUAACAUUGAAUUUCUGACCCUCCUGCCUCUGCCUCUCAGGUGCAGGGAUCGUAGGUGUGCACUGCCAUGCCCAACUGUGCUUUUUAAAGCUCUUUUUCUUUUCUUUCAUUUGCUUGUUUUUUUGAGAUAGGGUAGCCCCAGCUGGCCUGGAACUCACUCUGUAGACCAGGCUGGCUUCAUACUCCCAGAGAUCCGUCUGCCCUUUGCCUCCUGAGUGCUGGGAUUGAAGGUGGCUCCAUCAUGCUUGGCUUGCUUCUUUAUUCUUAAUGGAGAGCAUCCCCCUUCCGUCAGUACGUUAACCUUCCCCCUUUGUUUACUGUGCGCGGUUCCACUGAAUGGGUGUUUCAUAAUUGAAUGUGCUACUGCUGAGUGCUUAGGCUGGUCUUCUGCUGGUGUGGUGCUAGCACUGAACCUGAUGCCCAUAUCUGCCCAGAGUAGAGCUAUAGGAUAACGACUCACAGUCUAGUUUGCUAAGACACGGUGUGUCUCGUUUCAGAGGGCUUAUUGGGCAACUUCCCUGACAAUGAAUGCCUUUUUUGAAGACCACAGGUUGCAAAGAUAAGUUAGGGACAUCUGUCUGUUUUCGGGAAGUGAGGACAGUGACCCCAUAUGGGAAUCAGAACAUGGCAUUGCUCCUUAGAGAUACAUUCCAUCCCUGUCAAGGUCAUCUCUGUAUACGAGACAGAGGUUGGCUUCUCCCUAGCAGUGGGGAGUGGGGAGUGGUGUGUUCUUCUGAGACUCUGUAACAUCUACCUCAUGAGGGUUUCCUGGGAAACAGUGAGAUGAUGUUCUGUGCUCUGUUAGACUGUGCUUUGCAAACUGUCCAAUAAAUAGUAGCUACCCAUUGGAAAA
ensembl:lincRNA 1810058I24Rik RIKEN cDNA 1810058I24 gene